GACGAACGCUGGCGGCGUGCCUAAUACAUGCAAGUAGAACGCAGUGGCGAACGGGUGAGUAACGCGUAGGUAACUGCCUCAUAGCAGGGGAUAACUAUUGGAAACGAUAGCUAAUACCGCCUACUGUGAGAUGGAUCUGCGUUGUAUUUGGUAGUUGGUGAGGUAAAGGCUCACCAAGGCGACGAUACAUAGCGGUCUUGGGAGGGUGACCGGCCAAACCUGGACUGAGGAACGGGCCAGGCUCCUUAGGGGAGGAGCAGUAGGGAAAUUUCGGAAAAGGGCGGAAGUCUGAACGAGCAAAGGCGGGUGAGUGAAGAAGGUUUUCCGAGCGUAAAGCUAUGUUGUUCGAGAAGCGUUAACUAACCAGAAAGGGACGGCUAACUCCGUGCCAGCAGCCGCGGUAAUAC
rnacentral:rRNA from 1 species